UGCGGGGUGGAGCAGCUCGGUAGCUCGUCA
rnacentral:tRNA from 1 species